rnacentral:rRNA from 1 species
AUUGAACGCUGGCGGCAGGCCUAACACAUGCAAGUCGAGCGGUAGCACAGAGAGCUUGCUCUCGGGUGACGAGCGGCGGACGGGUGAGUAAUGUCUGGGAAACUGCCUGAUGGAGGGGGAUAACUACUGGAAACGGUAGCUAAUACCGCAUAAUGUCGCAAGACCAAAGUGGGGGACCUUCGGGCCUCAUGCCAUCAGAUGUGCCCAGAUGGGAUUAGCUAGUAGGUGGGGUAACGGCUCACCUAGGCGACGAUCCCUAGCUGGUCUGAGAGGAUGACCAGCCACACUGGAACUGAGACACGGUCCAGACUCCUACGGGAGGCAGCAGUGGGGAAUAUUGCACAAUGGGCGCAAGCCUGAUGCAGCCAUGCCGCGUGUGUGAAGAAGGCCUUCGGGUUGUAAAGCACUUUCAGCGGGGAGGAAGGCGGUGAGGUUAAUAACCUCAUCGAUUGACGUUACCCGCAGAAGAAGCACCGGCUAACUCCGUGCCAGCAGCCGCGGUAAUACGGAGGGUGCAAGCGUUAAUCGGAAUUACUGGGCGUAAAGCGCACGCAGGCGGUCUGUCAAGUCGGAUGUGAAAUCCCCGGGCUCAACCUGGGAACUGCAUUCGAAACUGGCAGGCUAGAGUCUUGUAGAGGGGGGUAGAAUUCCAGGUGUAGCGGUGAAAUGCGUAGAGAUCUGGAGGAAUACCGGUGGCGAAGGCGGCCCCCUGGACAAAGACUGACGCUCAGGUGCGAAAGCGUGGGGAGCAAACAGGAUUAGAUACCCUGGUAGUCCACGCCGUAAACGAUGUCGAUUUGGAGGUUGUGCCCUUGAGGCGUGGCUUCCGGAGCUAACGUGUUAAAUCGACCGCCUGGGGAGUACGGCCGCAAGGUUAAAACUCAAAUGAAUUGACGGGGGCCCGCACAAGCGGUGGAGCAUGUGGUUUAAUUCGAUGCAACGCGAAGAACCUUACCUGGUCUUGACAUCCACAGAACUUUCCAGAGAUGGAUUGGUGCCUUCGGGAACUGUGAGACAGGUGCUGCAUGGCUGUCGUCAGCUCGUGUUGUGAAAUGUUGGGUUAAGUCCCGCAACGAGCGCAACCCUUAUCCUUUGUUGCCAGCGGUUAGGCCGGGAACUCAACGGAGACUGCCAGUGAUAAACUGGAGGAAGGUGGGGAUGACGUCAAGUCAUCAUGGCCCUUACGACCAGGGCUACACACGUGCUACAAUGGCAUAUACAAAGAGAAGCGACCUCGCGAGAGCAAGCGGACCUCAUAAAGUAUGUCGUAGUCCGGAUUGGAGUCUGCAACUCGACUCCAUGAAGUCGGAAUCGCUAGUAAUCGUAGAUCAGAAUGCUACGGUGAAUACGUUCCCGGGCCU